GAUGAGCGCUGGCGGCGUGCCUAACACAUGCAAGUCGAGCGAUUCUCUUCGGAGAAGAGCGGCGGACGGGUGAGUAACGCGUGGGUAACCUGCCCUGUACACACGGAUAACAAACCGCAAGGUAUGCUAAUACGGGAUAAUAUGCUUUAGUCGCAUGGCUGAAGUAUCAAAGCUCCGGCGGUACAGGAUGGACCCGCGUCUGAUUAGCUAGUUGGUAAGGUAAUGGCUUACCAAGGCGACGAUCAGUAGCCGACCUGAGAGGGUGAUCGGCCACAUUGGAACUGAGACACGGUCCAAACUCCUACGGGAGGCAGCAGUGGGGAAUAUUGCACAAUGGGCGAAAGCCUGAUGCAGCAACGCCGCGUGAGCGAUGAAGGCCUUCGGGUCGUAAAGCUCUGUCCUCAAGGAAGAUAAUGACGGUACUUGAGGAGGAAGCCCCGGCUAACUACGUGCCAGCCGCCGCCGUAA
rnacentral:rRNA from 1 species